rnacentral:lncRNA from 1 species
AAGACCAUGAACCGUCCAGUUCUGCACCAAUUGGUUUAUACCACUUAUAAAGGUUUGACUGACUCAAGUGAAAAGCUUAUUAUCUGUCUUAACCAAAAGUUUUGGUAGAGAAUGAUCAAUUUACCUUUACAAGGGCAAUAUUAGCAGGAAUCACGGGUAUUUCACCGCUGGCAAAACCAAUCACAAGAAUCUGAGCUCCCCAAUUCAGAACUUUCAUGGACUCUUUGGUUAGUUUCCCUCCAACAGGAUCAUAUAGAACAUCAACUCCUCUAAGCUUUCUUGUCUUGAUAAAUUCUUUGACACUUGAAAUAACAUUUUCAGUGCCUAGAUCAACAACAUGAUCCACUCCCAUUGACUUCAACAGCUGAAUCUUCUCAGUUCCUCUGCCAAAAAGCAAGAGACUCAAAAAC